UGAGUAAGUCAGAUGAUCGCAUGCUUUUGCAUGAGGAAAGUCCGAGCUCCGUAGGGCAAGGGUGCUGGGUAAUGCCCAGUGGGGGUGACCCCAAGGAUAGUGCAACAGAAAUAGACCGCCUGCUUAUAGCAGGUAAGGAUGGAAAGGUGAGGUAAGAGCUCACCAGCAGCUAGGCGACUAGUUGGCUCUGUAAACCCCACCCGGAGCAAGACCAAGUAGGGACCAUAUGACAAGCGGCUGCCCGUCGCUGUCCCGUAGGUAGGUUGCUGGAGUCUACUGGUAACAGUAGACCUAGAAAGAUGAUCGUCCAAUACAGAACUCGGCUUAUAGACUUACUUGUAUA
rnacentral:RNase_P_RNA from 1 species